rnacentral:rRNA from 1 species
AAAGCGUGCGCAGGCGGUUUUGUAAGACUGUCGUGAAAUCCCCGGGCUCAACCUGGGAAUGGCGAUGGUGACUGCAAGGCUAGAGUUUGGCAGAGGGGGGUAGAAUUCCACGAGUAGCAGUGAAAUGCGUAGAUAUGUGGAGGAACACCGAUGGCGAAGGCAGCCCCCUGGGUCAAAACUGACGCUCAUGCACGAAAGCGUGGGGAGCAAACAGGAUUAGAUACCCUUGU